rnacentral:rRNA from 1 species
UGGCUCAGGACGAACGCUGGCGGCGUGCUUCAUACAUGCAAGUCGAACGAGAAAUUACCUUCGGGUAAUGGAAAGUGGCGGACGGGUGAGUAAUAUGUAGAGAAUCUGCCUUCAAGCGGGGGAUAGCAGUUGGAAACGACUAUUAAUACCCCAUAUGAGCGUAACUGAAAUGUUAUUCUUGAAAACUCCGGUGCUUGGAGAUGAGUCUGCAUCUGAUUAGCUAGUUGGGGGUGUAAUGGACCACCAAGGCGACGAUCAGUAGCUGGUUUGAGAGGAUGAUCAGCCACAAUGGGACUGAGACACGGCCCAUACUCCUACGGGAGGCAGCAGUAGGGAAUUUUGCGCAAUGGGCGAAAGCCUGACGCAGCCAACGCCGCGUGAUCGAGACGCUUUUCGGAGUGUAAAGAUCUGUCACAGGGGACGAACGAUGACGGUACCCUGAGAGGAAGCACCGGCUAACUCCGUGCCAGCCGCAGC